rnacentral:rRNA from 1 species
UACGUAGGGGGCAAGCGUUGUCCGGAAUCAUUGGGCGUAAAGCGCGUGUAGGCGGUCCGGAAAGUCUGGUGUGAAAACUUGAGGCUCAACCUCAAGCCUGCAUUGGAUACUGUCGGACUUGAGUCUGGAAGAGGAGAGUGGAAUUCCUGGUGUAGCGGUGAAAUGCGCAGAUAUCAGGAGGAACACCGGUGGCGAAGGCGGGACUCUGGGCCGAUACUGACGCUGAGGAGCGAAAGCGUGGGGAGCAAGCAGG